CCUACGGGGGGCUGCAGUAGGGAAUCUUUCACAAUGGGCGAAAGCCUGAUGGAGCAACGCCGCGUGCAGGAUGAAGGCCUUCGGGUUGUAAACUGCUUUUAUAAGCGAGAAAUAUGAUGGUAACUUAUGAAUAAGGAUCGGCUAACUACGUGCCAGCAGCCGCGGUCAUACGUAGGAUCCGAGCAUUAUCCGGAGUGACUGGGUGUAAAGAGUUGCGUAGGUGGCAUAAUAAGUAGCUAGUGAAAUCGGGUGGCUCAACCAUUCAGACUAUUAGCUAAACUGUUAAGCUCGAGACCGUUAGGGGUAACUGGAAUGUCUAGUGUAGGAGUGAAAUCCGUAGAUAUUAGAAGGAACACCAAUAGCGUAGGCAGGUUACUGGGACGGUUCUGACACUAAGGCACGAAAGCGUAGGGAGCAAACGGGAUUAGAUACACCAGUAGUC
rnacentral:rRNA from 1 species